UAUACGGAUGCGAUGACGAUCGGCUAGU
rnacentral:sRNA from 1 species